rnacentral:rRNA from 1 species
GACGAACGCUGGCGGCGUGCUUAACACAUGCAAGUCGAACGGAAAGGCCCUGCUUGCAGGGUACUCGAGUGGCGAACGGGUGAGUAACACGUGGGUGAUCUGCCCUGCACUUCGGGAUAAGCCUGGGCAACUGGGUCUAAUACCGGCUAGGAGCCAUUUUUAGUGUGAUGGUUGGAAAGUUUUUUCGGUGUAGGAUGAGCUCGCGGCCUAUCAGCUUGUUGGUGGGGUAAUGGCCUACCAAGGCGGCGACGGGUAGCCGGCCUGAGAGGGUGGACGGCCACAAUGGGACUGAGAUAAGGCCCAGACUCCUACGGGAGGCAGCAGUGGGGAAGAUUGAACAAGGGGCGCAAGCCUGAUGCAGCGACGCCGCGUGGGGGAUGACGGCCUUCGGGUUGUAAACUCCAUUCGCUAGGGACGAAGCUUUUUGUGACGGUACCUAGAUAAGAAGCACCGGCUAACUACGUG